GAUGAACGCUGGCGGCGUGCCUAAUACAUGCAAGUCGAGCGAACGGACGAGAAGCUUGCUUCUCUGAUGUUAGCGGCGGACGGGUGAGUAACACGUGGAUAACCUACCUAUAAGACUGGGAUAACUUCGGGAAACCGGAGCUAAUACCGGAUGAUAUUUUGAACCGCAUGGUUCAAAAGUGAAAGACGGUCUUGCUGUCACUUAUAGAUGGAUCCGCGCUGCAUUAGCUAGUUGGUAAGGUAACGGCUUACCAAGGCAACGAUGCAUAGCCGACCUGAGAGGGUGAUCGGCCGCACUGGAACUGAGACACGGUCCAGACUCCUACGGGAGGCAGCAGUAGGGAAUCUUCCGCAAUGGGCGAAAGCCUGACGGAGCAACGCCGCGUGAGUGAUGAAGGUCUUCGGAUCGUAAAACUCUGUUAUUAGGGAAGAACAUAUGUGUAAGUAACUGUGCACAUCUUGACGGUACCUAAUCAGAAAGCCACGGCUAACUACGUG
rnacentral:rRNA from 1 species